rnacentral:rRNA from 1 species
CAGAGGUCCCGAGCGUUGUUCGGAUUCACUGGGCGUAAAGGGUGCGUAGGUGGUGAGGUAAGUCGGAUGUGAAAUCUCCGGGCUCAACCCGGAAAUGGCAUUGGAAACUACCUUGCUGGAGGAUUUGAGGGGGGAUUGGAAUACUUGGUGUAGCAGUGAAAUGCGUAGAUAUCAAGUGGAACACCAGUGGCGAAGGCGAAUCCCUGGAAAAUACCUGACACCGAGGCACGAAAGCUAGGGGAGCAAACAGGAUUAGAUACCCUGGUAGUCCUAGCCCUAAACGGUGCUUGCUUGCUGUAAGAGGAAUCGACCCCUCUUGUGGCGGAGCUAACGCGUUAAGCAAGCCGCCUGGGAAGUACGGUCGCAAGAUUA